GUCGGAGUGGCGGAAUUGGCAGACGCGCACGUUUGAGGGGCGUGUGGUACAACCGUGCGGGUUCAAGUCCCGCCUCCGACACCA
rnacentral:tRNA from 2 species